rnacentral:rRNA from 1 species
AGAGUUUGAUCAUGGCUCAGAUUGAACGCUGGCGGCAUGCCUUACACAUGCAAGUCGAACGGAUUGAGGGGCUUGCUCCUCAGUUAGUGGCGAACGGGUGAGUAAUGCAUCGGAACGUACCCAUUUGUGGGGGAUAACGUAGCGAAAGUUACGCUAAUACCGCAUAAGCCCUGAGGGGGAAAGCGGGGGACUCGCAAGAGCCUCGCGCAGAUGGAGCGGCCGAUGUCGGAUUAGCUUGUUGGCGGGGUAAAAGCCCACCAAGGCGACGAUCCGUAGCUGGUCUGAGAGGACGACCAGCCACACUGGGACUGAGACACGGCCCAGACUCCUACGGGAGGCAGCAGUGGGGAAUUUUGGACAAUGGGCGAAAGCCUGAUCCAGCCAUGCCGCGUGAGUGAAGAAGGCCUUCGGGUUGUAAAGCUCUUUCGGACAGAAAGAAAUCGCAUGGAUUAAUACUCUGUGUGGAUGACGGUACUGUAAGAAGAAGCACCGGCUAACUACGUGCCAGCAGCCGCGGUAAUACGUAGGGUGCGAGCGUUAAUCGGAAUUACUGGGCGUAAAGGGUGCGCAGGCGGUUAUAUAAGACAGAUGUGAAAUCCCCGGGCUCAACCUGGGAACUGCGUUUGUGACUGUAUAACUAGAGUACGGUAGAGAGGGGUGGAAUUCCUGGUAGCAGUGAAAUGCGUAGAUAUCAGGAGGAACAUCGAUGGCGAAGGCAGCCCCUUGGACCUGUACUGACGCUCAUGCACGAAAGCGUGGGGAGCAAACAGGAUUAGAUACCCUAGUAGUCC